rnacentral:rRNA from 1 species
UACGGGGGGAGCAAGCGUUGUUCGGAUUUACUGGGCGUAAAGGGCGCGUAGGCGGCGUGGUAAGUCACUUGUGAAAUCUCCGGGCUUAACUCGGAACGGUCAAGUGAUACUGCUGCGCUAGAGUGCGGAAGGGGCAACUGGAAUUCUCGGUGUAGCGGUGAAAUGCGUAGAUAUCGAGAGGAACACCUGCGGCGAAGGCGGGUUGCUGGGCCGACACUGACGCUGAGGCGCGAAAGCUAGGGGAGCGAACGGG